rnacentral:rRNA from 1 species
UACCAGCACCCCGAGUGGUCGGGACGAUUAUUGGGCCUAAAGCAUCCGUAGCCGGUCAUGCAAGUCUUCCGUUAAAUCCAGCCGCUCAACGGUUGGGCUGCGGAGGAUACUACGUGGCUAGGAGGCGGGAGAGGCAAGCGGUACUCAGUGGGUAGGGGUAAAAUCCUUUGAUCCAUUGAAGACCACCAGUGGCGAAGGCGGCUUGCCAGAACGCGCUCGACAGUGAGGGAUGAAAGCUGGGGGAGCAAACCGG